UAUUAUGGCAAUAUUUAAUCACUUGUACAUUUUAAUUGUAUACAUAAUUCAACAAAGCUAAGCAGGGCUGAGCCUGGUCAAUACCUGGAUAGGAGACCACAUGGGAAAACUAGGUUGCUGUUGGAA
rnacentral:rRNA from 1 species